rnacentral:rRNA from 1 species
UACGUAGGGGGCUAGCGUUGUCCGGAUUUAUUGGGCGUAAAGAGCGUGUAGGCGGCCAUGUAGGUCCGGUGUGAAAACUCGAGGCUUAACCUCGAGAUGUCAUCGGAAACCAUUUGGCUAGAGUCCGGAAGAGGAGAGUGGAAUUCCUGGUGUAGCGGUGAAAUGCGCAGAUAUCAGGAAGAACACCAACGGCGAAGGCAGCUCGCUGGGACGGAACUGACGCUGAGGCGCGAAAGCGUGGGGAGCGAACAGG